AAGUCGUAACAAGGUUUCCGUAGGUGAACCUGCGGAAGGAUCAUUACUGAACUGUCGACACGAGUUGUUGCUGGUCCUCAAAUGGGGGGCAUGUGCACACUCUGUUUACACAUCCACUCACACCUGUGCACCCUCUGUAGUUCUGUGGUGUGGGGGACUCUGUCCUCCUGCUGUGGUUCUAUGUCUUUACACACACACUGUAAUAAAAGUCUCAUGGAAUGUAUACCGCGUUUAACGCAAUACAAUACAACUUUCAGCAACGGAUCUCUUGGCUCUC
rnacentral:misc_RNA from 1 species